rnacentral:rRNA from 1 species
UACGUAGGGUGCGAGCGUUAAUCGGAAUUACUGGGCGUAAAGCGUGCGUAGGCGGUUCGCUGUGUCCGAUGUGAAAGCCCCGGGCUUAACCUGGGAAUGGCAUUGGAAACUGGCGGGCUUGAGUGCGGCAGAGGGGGGUGGAAUUCCCGGUGUAGUGGUGAAAUGCGUAGAGAUCGGGAGGAACACCUGUGGCGAAGGCGGCCGACUGGGCCGACCCUGACGCUGAGGCGCGAAGGCGUGGGGAGCGAACGGG